rnacentral:rRNA from 1 species
CGCCUGCCCUGUGACAAAAGUUCAACGGCCGCGGUAUUUUGACCGUGCAAAGGUAGCGCAAUCACUUGUCUUUUAAAUGAAGACCUGUAUGAAUGGCAUGACGAGGGCUUAACUGUCUCCUUUUUCCAGUCAAUAAAAUUGAUCUUCCCGUGCAGAAGCGGGAAUAUAACCAUAAGACGAGAAGACCCUAUGGAGCUUUAGACACAAGACAGAUCUUGUUAAACACUUCAAAAUAAAGAAACAAACUAAAAGAACCCUGCCCUACUGUCUUCGGUUGGGGCGACCACGGGGAGAUAAAUAACCCCCACGCGGACUGAGAAAACAGUUCUCACAACCAAGAGCUACAGCUCUAAUCAACAGAAAAUCUGACCUCAAGAUCCGGCAACGCCGAUCAACGAACCAAGUUACCCUAGGGAUAACAGCGCAAUCCCCUUUUAGAGUCCAUAUCGACAAGGGGGUUUACGACCUCGAUGUUGGAUCAGGACAUCCUAAUGGUGCAGCAGCUAUUAAGGGUUCGUUUGUUCAACGAUUAAAGUCCU